AUUGAACGCUGGCGGCAGGCCUAACACAUGCAAGUCGAGCGGAUGAAGGGAGCUUGCUCCUGGAUUCAGCGGCGGACGGGUGAGUAAUGCCUAGGAAUCUGCCUGGUAGUGGGGGAUAACGUCCGGAAACGGGCGCUAAUACCGCAUACGUCCUGAGGGAGAAGGUGGGGGAUCUUCGGACCUCACGCUAUCAGAUGAGCCUAGGUCGGAUUGGCUAGUUGGUGGGGUAAAGGCCUACCAAGGCGACGAUCCGUAACUGGUCUGAGAGGAUGAUCAGUCACACUGGAACGGAGACACGGUCCAGACUCCUACGGGAGGCAGCAGUGGGGAAUAUUGGACAAUGGGCGAAAGCCUGAUCCAGCCAUGCCGCGUGUGUGAUGAAGGUCUUCGGAUUGUAAAGCACUUUAAGUUGGGAGGAAGGGCAGUAAGUUAAUACCUUGCUGUUUUGACGUUACCAACAGAAUAAGCACCGGCUAACUUCGUG
rnacentral:rRNA from 1 species